rnacentral:rRNA from 1 species
UACAGAGGGUGCAAGCGUUAAUCGGAAUUACUGGGCGUAAAGCGCACGUAGGCGGUUUUUUAAGUCAGAUGUGAAAGCCCCGGGCUCAACCUGGGAAUUGCAUUUGAAACUGGGAAACUAGAGUGUGUGAGAGGGGGGUAGAAUUCCAAGUGUAGCGGUGAAAUGCGUAGAGAUUUGGAGGAAUACCAGUGGCGAAGGCGGCCCCCUGGCACAACACUGACGCUCAGGUGCGAAAGCGUGGGGAGUAAACAGG